UGUAAACCGUGUUUGUACUCAGUGGCACGCUUAAUUACCAUAUGGGAGAGGUUAUGAGGGAAGAAGCCAGAGACAGCUUUUUGUACAUCACAAUUAUCUGAUUAAUACUGCAACCCGUACAUAUAAUUAUUCAAGGCCAAUGUUUUGUAUAGUGGUUACUGUGUCAUUUUGAAAAUUACCAAAAAUAUGACGUUUUAAACAAUCACAUGCAAAUUCAGCUACAAUUGUGGUUGUGGUAGUGAUAUGGUUUCGGUGUCUCUCACAACCUUAAAGAUAUAAAGAAAGUAUGGAAGUGAUUCAUGAAUGAUGAUGCUCAUAAACUCAAGCACCUAAACACAGAAGAACAUUUAAAAGGUAAGAAUUUUAUUAAUAUUAAAAUAGU